UACAGAGGGUGCGAGCGUUAAUCGGAAUUACUGGGCGUAAAGCGUGCGUAGACGGUUAUUUAAGUCGAGUGUGAAAGCCCCGGGCUCAACCUGGGAAUUGCAUUCGAGACUGAAUAGCUAGGGUACGGUAGAGGGAAGUGGAAUUUCCGGUGUAGCGGUGAAAUGCGUAGAUAUCGGAAGGAACAUCAGUGGCGAAAGCGACUUCCUGGACCAGUACCGACGUUCAGGCACGAAAGCGUGGGGAGCAAACAGG
rnacentral:rRNA from 1 species